UGGAGAGGUUGAGGAGGGAGUCUAUGUGGUGUAGAAAUGUGUGUGCUUUCCAUGGUGUGACCAAAUUGGAAAGAAGCUUGUGCUUGAUUAUGGAUAGGUGUAAAGGAUCAGUACAGACGGAGAUGCAGCGGAAUGAAGGGCGACUAACACUUGAGCAAAUUCUGAGAUAUGGAGCAGACAUUGCCCGUGGGGUGGCUGAACUUCAUGCAGCUGGUAUUGUUUGCAUGAAUAUUAAGCCGUCCAAUCUUCUUUUAGAUGCAAAUGGUCAUGCUGUGGUAUCUGAUUAUGGGCUUCCUGCAAUUUUAAAGAAGCCUGCCUGUAGGAAAGCUCGAUUGGAGUGUGAGUCCACAAUAACUCAUUCUUGCAUGGAUUGUACAAUGCUUAGCCCAAACUACACUGCUCCAGAAGCG
rnacentral:misc_RNA from 1 species